CCUACGGGGGGCUGCAGUUAGGAAUAUUGGACAAUGGGCGCAAGCCUGAUCCAGCCAUGCCGCGUGAACGAUGAAGGCCUUCGGGUUGUAAAGUUCUUUAGCCGAUGAUUAUAAUGACUGUAGUCGGAAAAUAAGCCCCGGCUAACUUCGUGCCAGCAGCCGCGGUAAUACGAAGGGGGCGAGCGUUGUUCGGAAUCACUGGGCGUAAAGCGUGCGUAGGCUGUUUUGCAAGUUGGAAGUGAAAGCCCAAGGCUCAACCUUGGAAUUGCUUUCAAAACUGCAAGACUCGAAUCUCGGAGAGGAUAGCGGAAUUUCCAGUGUAGUAGUGAAAUACGUAGAUAUUGGAAGGAACACCAGUGGCGUAAGCGGCUAUCUGGACGAGUAUUGACGCUGAGGCACGAAAGCGUGGGGAUCAAACAGGAUUAGAUACCCGUGUAGUC
rnacentral:rRNA from 1 species